UCUCUGCAAGGCGUGCGGGCUGGUUGGAUUUAAAUGCAUUAGAAAUGGGCUUUUUGUGAUGAUUUCUGCCACAAAGCCUAAGUAAGGUUUGAGUUUCCUGGCACUCUGUGCUUCCUUCAUAACAUAUUUUGCUAAAGCCUUAAACUACUAUUCUCAUUGGGAAGAUCAGCACUUUGCACAGAAAAAGUGGUGAGUUUCGACAGAUGGCGAAAAGAGUGUCUAUUCAUGAUGAUGUGUGAGAAAUAUGACGCAAAAGUUAUUUGUAAAUAUCAUAACAUCUCCGUUUGAGCCUUCUACUUUAUUGGUUUUUUAGCAUUUGAUGCAUCAUGAACUAUGACAGUUCUGUAACUAGUAAGUAAUUGGAGUAAUAAGAAUAUGCUUUAUCACUCAACUGAUUAAAUUUAGCAUAUAAACAAAAAAAACAGUGAAAAUAAAACUAAGGCCUAUUACAGUCUAUUCUCACUCUGCUUGUUGUGUGUAUUAAUGAUAAAGAUUCUAUCGAAUUCUGAAAAUUUUCUGCAACUGAAGUACUGAUUGAAGUACUGAACACAUUAAUCUCGACCUCUUUUGAGCCUAUCAGCAGGCUGCAGAGGUGCUAAAACCAUUAACUGAAACUUGGAGAACGGCAACUGCUGUAAGGGCAAAGUGUUACCUUCAUUGUUUGUUACGAUCAACAUUACCAUUCCUCAUCUAUAACACACGAUUCUUCUGAUUCAAACUAUCCAUGUGUUAAUUAGUUGUUAAGAAAAUAGAACAGUUUGAGCAUAAGGCUUAGUUUAUUUACACACAGUAUUCUGUAGAAAAGAAGACCCAUAAUGUAUUUAGCAUUGGAUUAGAAGGUAAUUAAUAUAAAUUAUUUUGUGAUAAGAUUCUCUAGUUGCUUGUGCCAUGGUAUUUUUGGAAAUUUGUAUUUGAUAAUUCUUCCGAAGAACCGGAAGCGAAGCGCUAUGCCGGGGCGGGGGGACGGGAAAAGAAACGGCUCCGAAGGAAAAAAUGGAGAUUCCCAAUGCUUCUCCACACCCAACGAGAUGUGCCAAUCUUGGAAUGCUUUACUUCUUCCAAAUAACACAAUGAAAAAAUGAUAGUAGAUAAUACAAAUGAUGAAUAUAUGGUUCGGAAAAAAACGUUAUAAACCGAUCAACUGAACCGGAAGAAAACGAUUUGUUUGGUUUGGUUUCAUUUAUGAAAAACAAUAAAAAAG
rnacentral:lncRNA from 1 species